rnacentral:rRNA from 1 species
GACGAACGCUGGCGGCGUGCUUAACACAUGCAAGUCGAGCGGAAAGGCCACUUCGGUGGUACUCGAGCGGCGAACGGGUGAGUAACACGUGAGUAAUCUGCCCUUGGCUUUGGGAUAGCCACCGGAAACGGUGAUUAAUACCGGAUAUGACCACGUCUCGCAUGGGGUGUGGUGGAAAGUUUUUCGGCCAGGGAUGUGCUCGCGGCCUAUCAGCUUGAUGGUGAGGUAAUGGCUCACCAUGGCUUCGACGGGUAGCCGGCCUGAGAGGGUGACCGGUCACACUGGGACUGAGACACGGCCCAGACUCCUACGGGAGGCAGCAGUGGGGAAUAUUGGACAAUGGGCGGAAGCCUGAUCCAGCAACGCCGCGUGAGGGAUGACGGCCUUUGGGUUGUAAACCUCUUUCAGUAGGGACGAAGCGUGAGUGACGGUACCUACAGAAGAAGCACCGGCCAACUACGUGCCAGCCGCCGCAGUAACAC